rnacentral:tRNA from 1 species
UAGAUAUUAGUUAAAAUUAUAACAUUUAAAUUGCAAUUAAAUAUUGGAUUUUUAAUAUAUUCAUAUCU